rnacentral:rRNA from 1 species
CAGCCGCCACGGUAAUACGGAGGGUGCAAGCGUUAAUCGGAAUUACUGGGCGUAAAGCGCACGCAGGCGGUUUGUUAAGUCAGAUGUGAAAUCCCCGAGCUUAACUUGGGAACUGCAUUUGAAACUGGCAAGCUAGAGUCUUGUAGAGGGGGGUAGAAUUCCAGGUGUAGCAGUGAAAUGCGUAGAGAUCUGGAGGAAUACCGGUGGCGAAGGCGGCCCCCUGGACAAAGACUGACGCUCAGGUGCGAAAGCGUGGGGAGCAAACAGGAUUAGAUACCCGCGUAGUCCCUGUCUCUUAUAC